rnacentral:rRNA from 1 species
UAACACGUAAACAACCUGCCUUCAGGAUGGGGACAACAGACGGAAACGACUGCUAAUACCGAAUGUGUUCCGGAGACCGCAUGAUUUCCGGAAGAAAGGAUGGCCUCUAUUUAUAAGCUAUCGCCUGAAGAGGGGUUUGCGUCUGAUUAGGCAGUUGGUGAGGUAACGGCCCACCAAACCUACGAUCAGUAGCCGGUCUGAGAGGAUGAACGGCCACACUGGAACUGAGACACGGUCCAGACUCCUACGGGAGGCAGCAGUGGGGAAUCUUCCGCAAUGGACGAAAGUCUGACGGAGCAACGCCGCGUGAGUGAUGACGGCCUUCGGGUUGUAAAGCUCUGUGAUCGGGGACGAAUGGCUGGUAUGCUAAUACCAUAUCAGAGUGACGGUACCCGAAUAGCAAGCCACGGCUAACUACGUGCCAGCAGCCGCGGUAAUACGUAGGUGGCAAGCGUUGUCCGGAAUUAUUGGGCGUAAAGCGCGCGCAGGCGGCUUCUUAAGUCCAUCUUAAAAGUGCGGGGCUUAACCCCGUGAUGGGAUGGAAACUGGGAGGCUGGAGUAUCGGAGAGGAAAGUGGAAUUCCUAGUGUAGCGGUGAAAUGCGUAGAGAUUAGGAAGAACACCAGUGGCGAAGGCGACUUUCUGGACGACAACUGACGCUGAGGCGCGAAAGCGUGGGGAGCAAACAGGAUUAGAUACCCUGGUAGU